AGUCGAGCGGGGAUGAGGUGCUUGCACCUUAUCUUAGCGGCGGACGGGUGAGUAAUGCUUAGGAAUCUGCCUAUUAGUGGGGGACAACAUUCCGAAAGGAAUGCUAAUACCGCAUACGUCCUACGGGAGAAAGCAGGGGAUCUUCGGACCUUGCGCUAAUAGAUGAGCCUAAGUCGGAUUAGCUAGUUGGUGGGGUAAAGGCCUACCAAGGCGACGAUCUGUAGCGGGUCUGAGAGGAUGAUCCGCCACACUGGGACUGAGACACGGCCCAGACUCCUACGGGAGGCAGCAGUGGGGAAUAUUGGACAAUGGGGGGAACCCUGAUCCAGCCAUGCCGCGUGUGUGAAGAAGGCCUUAUGGUUGUAAAGCACUUUAAGCGAGGAGGAGGCUACUGAGACUAAUACUCUUGGAUAGUGGACGUUACUCGCAGAAUAAGCACCGGCUAACUCUGUGCCAGCAGCCGCGGUAAUACAGAGGGUGCGAGCGUUAAUCGGAUUUACUGGGCGUAAAGCGUGCGUAGGCGGCUUUUUAAGUCGGAUGUGAAAUCCCCGAGCUUAACUUGGGAAUUGCAUUCGAUACUGGGAAGCUAGAGUAUGGGAGAGGAUGGUAGAAUUCCAGGUGUAGCGGUGAAAUGCGUAGAGAUCUGGAGGAAUACCGAUGGCGAAGGCAGCCAUCUGGCCUAAUACUGACGCUGAGGUACGAAGGCAUGGGGAGCAAACAGGAUUAGAUACCCUGGUAGUCCAUGCCGUAAACGAUGUCUACUAGCCGUUGGGGCCUUUGAGGCUUUAGUGG
rnacentral:rRNA from 1 species